GAUGAACGCUAGCGGCAGGCCUAAUACAUGCAAGUCGAGCGGCAAGUCGAGGAGUAAUCUGAGACCUAGAGCGGCGUACGGGUGCGUAACGCGUAUGCAACCUACCUCAUACAGGGGGAUAGCCCGGAGAAAUCUGGAUUAAUACCCCAUAGCACAGCACAAGGGCAUCUGCGAGCUGUUAAAGAUUCAUCGGUAUGAGAUGGGCAUGCGUCUGAUUAGCUAGUUGGCGGUGUAACGGACCGCCAAGGCGACGAUCAGUGGGGGUUCUGAGAGGAAGGUCCCCCACACUGGCACUGAGAUACGGGCCAGACUCCUACGGGAGGCAGCAGUAGGGAAUAUUGGGCAAUGGACGAGAGUCUGACCCAGCCAUGCCGCGUGCAGGAAGAAGGCCUUCUGGGUUGUAAACUGCUUUUAUCUGGGAAGAAAAGGCCCAUGCGUGGGACAUUGCCGGUACCAGAUGAAUAAGCACCGGCUAACUCCGUGCCAGCCGCCGCAGUAA
rnacentral:rRNA from 1 species